rnacentral:snRNA from 1 species
AUACUUACCUGGACGGGGGUCUAUGGUGAUCAUGAAGAGCCAUGGCCUAGGUUAGUGGCCUCCAUUGCACUUGGGAGGAGCACUAGCUUACCAUCUCCCUAAAUGGGAGAGUGGACGUCAUAAUUUGUGGCGGAGGGGGUACGCGUUCGCGCGGCCCCUA